GAUGAAGAACGCAGCGAAAUGCGAUACGUAAUGUGAAUUGCAGAAUUCAGUGAAUCAUCGAGUCUUUGAACGCACAUUGCGCCCCCUGGUAUACCGGGGGGCAUGCCUGUCCGAGCGUCAUUGCUGCCCUCAAGCACGGCUUGUGUGUUGGGCCUCCGUCCUCCUCCCGGGGGACGGGCCCGAAAGGCAGCGGCGGCACCGCGUCCGGUCCUCGAGCGUAUGGGGCUUCGUCACCCGCUCUUGUAGGCCCGGUCGGCGCUUGCCGACACAUCAAUCUUUUUUCCAGGUUGACCUCGGAUCAGGUAGGGAUACCCGCUGAACUUAAGCAUAUCAAUAAGCGGAGGA
rnacentral:misc_RNA from 1 species